rnacentral:piRNA from 1 species
UGAGGGUGGACCAUGACUGCCUU